UCUGGGAUAAGCCUGGGAAACUGGGUCUAAUACCGGAUAUGACUUCUCAUCGCAUGGUGGGGGGUGGAAAGCUUUUGUGGUUUUGGAUGGACUCGCGGCCUAUCAGCUUGUUGGUGGGGUAAUGGCCUACCAAGGCGACGACGGGUAGCCGGCCUGAGAGGGUGACCGGCCACACUGGGACUGAGACACGGCCCAGACUCCUACGGGAGGCAGCAGUGGGGAAUAUUGCACAAUGGGCGCAAGCCUGAUGCAGCGACGCCGCGUGAGGGAUGACGGCCUUCGGGUUGUAAACCUCUUUCAGUAGGGAAGAAGCCCUCUUUUGGGGGUGACGGUACUUGCAGAAGAAGCGCCGGCUAACUACGUGCCAGCAGCCGCGGUAAUACGUAGGGCGCAAGCGUUAUCCGGAAUUAUUGGGCGUAAAGAGCUCGUAGGCGGUUUGUCGCGUCUGCUGUGAAAGACCGGGGCUCAACUCCGGUUCUGC
rnacentral:rRNA from 1 species